ensembl:snoRNA SNORA70 Small nucleolar RNA SNORA70
AUACCACCUACUUUUAAAAUCUUCCACCAUGGGGGCCCGGUGUGCAAUGACUGCAAACAGCAGCCUCCUCAGUAGUGUAUGCAGCCUGUUGCCUGUAUAGGUUGCCCUAAGGGACCUUGGAGACAGCC